GCGUCCAAAGAAGUCAAAGCAUUGCAAUGAUGUCAAGUCGGUCCAACUUAAUGACCUUGAACAGCAGCCAAAGGUGGCUGAGCAUGACAAAGAUGUCAUGUUGGCCCGAAUGAAUGA